UAGGCCCAAAUUGAAUCCAAGCCUGAAAACUCCAUCAGCAAACCAAUUAUCUCUAUAAGCUGCAUGAAAAAGCGCUUAUGCAAAUUGAUCUUGCUUUCAUCACAAAUGUCGUUCGCCUCUUCGUCACAAUUCAUCCCUCGCGCCGGAUUCGUCGAUUGUGCGUUCACCGCCGUCGUGUUCCAGAGUUGUGGUCACGGCGGCCUUAUGCAUUGUGUUGUCAUAGAUCAUCGCGGUCUGGAUUCUUUAACACCAUCGUGUCAAGACGACGUCAUCUUCGCAUCCUAAGUCGCGCUUCAAGCUUCAGCAACAUCAUCUCCAUAACACCGCGUUCGUUUCGACAUCUUUCGCCUCGCGGAUUGAUUCGACCUUGUGGAGCAUCGAGAAUUUAACUCGAACCAUUCUAUUCUCGCAAUUAAAAAAAGAAGUUAAUCAUGGAUUAAAGCUAAACUUACCGGUUCCGACGCGACGGUGAAAACAUGUACGACCUCCUUCUUUGUAUGCUCCUUCUUCGACUCCGACGUACACUUAUUCUUCUUCUCUCUUCUUCGCGUGUGAUGUGGAUGAUUAGGAUUCUGUUGUUGUUACCAUGAUGCGUGGUUGUUGCGAUCUUUCUUCCUUCCUCUGAUUUCUGUUAUGGAAGGGUGAAACAAUGUUCUGUUUGGCUUUGCAGGGUUCUGUUAGGGUGAUGGUUGGAGAAGGAGGAAGAAGACGGCGAGAAGCUGGUUGUGCCAUGGUGGUUAUUCGGAAAGAGGAAGAAGGUAGUUGGAAAUUGGUUUGCUGUUGUUGGUUCGUGCAUUUCGCGUUUGGAGUUUGCAUCGUCGUCGUUUUGAUAUUGCCACCGUCACCUGCGUUUUGGUCUCGUUUCCUACACGUCGUGUUGCAGCAAGCGAUUGCUCCGUUUGUUUCUUCAGUUUCCUUGUUCUGGUAUUACUUGGUGAUGGAAAUGGGCUUGGGCCUAGAAUGGUGACCCAAUGUACUUCUAUUUUAUUUUGAUGUAAUAUUGGACCUUGAUUGGUUUUGGAUUUAAAUUGAAUUGGUUUUUAGUAAAUGUAUAUUGGGUUGUCACAAUGGACUUUUGGAUA